ACACGCUGAAAGAAAGAUGAAAACGCACAAUAAAGGAAAAGAAAAGUGAAAACAUAAUUUGAUGGCAAUUUGAUUUCAAUCUUCGAUUGAUUGCCAUCAUGUUUUCACUUAUUCUUUUCCUUUGUGCGUUUCAUUUCU
rnacentral:ribozyme from 11 species